rnacentral:lncRNA from 1 species
AUUCUCCAAACUUCAACUUGUAAGCAUCCACCUAGAGAAUUAGCGAUAAAGACUGUAUUCCCGGAGAAGAGGCUCGACCAAAGCUAACACAUACAAGAACACUAGGAGGGUGCUAACCGAUUGCGAACACAUAGGAAGCUGAUUCAAAUGGCAGCAAAAACGAAGGACCGAGAUGGGACUAACGCCAAGACAACACAAGCUAACGGGGCUUAAUAGCAGGAGCUCACUCGCAAAGAAGAGCCGCAUCUCCACUUCAGAAUAACGAUCACCUGAGCUUAAUAGCAGGAACUCACAAGAAGAAGGAGUCGCAUCUCCACUCGGAACCAGAAACGAUCACCCGAGCUUAAUAGCAGGAACUCACAAACAAAGAGGAGUCGCAUCUCCACUCAGAACCAGAAACAAGGAAGCUUAAUAGCAGGAGCCCACAAAUAAAGGAAAGCCGCAUCUCCACACACCGAAGCCUUACUACAUCCUCCUACAGCUCAACAAACUAAACAGCAAACCACAACCAAGAAACCCGCAGAUGCCGCAACAAUAGUAACGAGACCACCAGGCUUACACAAC